AUUGAACGCUGGCGGCAUGCCUUACACAUGCAAGUCGAGCGCGAAAGGGGGCAACCCCGAGUAGAGCGGCGGACGGGUGAGUAAUACAUCGGAACGUACCCAGUAGUGGGGGACAACCUCGAGAAAUCGAGGCUAAUACCGCAUACGACCCACGGGUGAAAGCGGGGGACCGCAAGGCCUCGCGCUAUUGGAGCGGCCGAUGUCCGAUUAGCUAGUUGGCGGGGUAAGAGCCCACCAAGGCGACGAUCGGUAGCUGGUCUGAGAGGACGACCAGCCACACUGGGACUGAGACACGGCCCAGACUCCUACGGGAGGCAGCAGUGGGGAAUUUUGGACAAUGGGGGCAACCCUGAUCCAGCCAUGCCGCGUGCGGGAAGAAGGCCUUCGGGUUGUAAACCGCUUUCGGCCGGAACGAAAUCGCCCGGGUGAACAUCCCGGGUGGAUGACGGUACCGGAAGAAGAAGCACCGGCUAACUACGUGCCAGCAGCCGCGGUAAUACGUAGGGUGCGAGCGUUAAUCGGAAUUACUGGGCGUAAAGCGUGCGCAGGCGGUCUCGUAAGACAGGUGUGAAAUCCCCGGGCUUAACCUGGGAACUGCGCCUUGUGAACUG
rnacentral:rRNA from 1 species